UACAGAGGUCUCAAGCGUUGUUCGGAUUCAUUGGGCGUAAAGGGCGCGUAGGCGGCGGGGUAAGCCUGGUGUGAAAUCUCGGAGCUCAACUCCGAAAUUGCACUGGAUACUGCUCUGCUAGAGGGCUGGAGAGGAGAUCGGAAUUCACGGUGUAGCAGUGAAAUGCGUAGAUAUCGUGAGGAAGACCAGUGGGGAAGGCGGAUCUCUGGACAGCUCCUGACGCUGAGGCGCGAAGGCUAGGGGAGCAAACGGG
rnacentral:rRNA from 1 species